AGCCCCAGUAAACGGCGGCCGUAACUAUAACGGUCCUAAGGUAGCGAAAUUCCUUGUCGGGUAAGUUCCGACCCGCACGAAAGGCGUAACGAUUUGGGCACUGUCUCAACGAGAGACUCGGUGAAAUCAUAGUACCUGUGAAGAUGCAGGUUACCCGCGACAGGACGGAAAGACCCCGUGGAGCUUUACUGUAGCCUGAUAUUGAAAUUCGGCACAGCUUGUACAGGAUAGGUAGGAGCCUUUGAAACGUGAGCGCUAGCUUACGUGGAGGCGCUGGUGGG
rnacentral:rRNA from 1 species